GGAAACUACAGCGGGCCUAUUGGCCCAUACUGGGCAGUCCCAUUUACACCCAGCCCCUAUUGCUCAUAUAAACAUCCGACCUAUGUUUGAAGCUAUCCAGCUAUCUCUGUGGUUGUCGGUCACACAAGUUGAACUCCAACUAGGCCCAUCGCCAACUGGGACCAACUAGGAAUGGUGCAGUUUACGGCUCCAAUUGCUUGUUACUAUAGUGUUCAGACAACUACCAUAUUGCUGCCUCGCUGAUCAUGGUUAAUGAAGUUCCUCGUGUCAUUCGUCGAGGACGGUGACGUGAAGAUGUGAGAUAUGGGCCACAAGACGAAGGUUUGUUUUGGUUAACGGGUCUCUUGCUGCACCACAUUGAAAACUUUCUGCUAUAACAUAAGGUACAGUACAGUGUAUAUCUUUGUGGUUUUAGUUUUUAUUAAGGGUCUGGGAUCACCGUUUAAAAAUUCAAGUGAUUGUGUUAAUGACCUUUGAAAUAAUUAGAUAUUUAUGUAGAUUACGCUGUGCCCGUAAGUUUUAAAAGGCCUUUAUGGAUGGUCUUAAAUAUGCUGACCAUCUUUACUGUAUGAAGUUAGUUUCACAUUGUCAAAAUAUUUGUCAAAUAUGCCUGACCUAAUACCUUUGUCUUCAGCACUUGGGGUAAACAAAUAGUUUAAAUAUUCUACAAAGGUACAGGGUACUGCUUUACCUGAUUUUACACCUGGGUUCACAAAUUAGUUAUUUUUUAAAAGGCCUACAUAUGCGUUUUUUAAAUAUAGACUAUUGGGGUGUCGAAUGCAUGGAAAAGCCAGGAAACAUUACAAACAAAUGGGGUAUUUUAUUUGGGUUAAGUUAUGGUUAAAUAUAGUUUUUUGGCAUCAAUCUUGGCAUAAAUUAAUGCUGUACUGUAUAAUAGGUAAAUAAUUAUUGUACUUUUAGGAACAUUCCACAACAGUAAUGAUGAUAGUUCAAGUUAGUGAUCAAAUAUUACAGGUUAUGCCUACUGCCGUGAGUAUUGUCCAGUGAAUUGUUCUUAUAGUGGACUUGUUCCACAUUAAUAAAGAUUCAUAUAGGUGGAUAGUGGAGUGUUGACCCACGUUAGGUUAAGGUUGUCACCAGGGAGGGUCGCUAAAAUAUCUUCUGUGGUCCCUCAAUUAACCAACACAAUUGGUUCCACGGAGUCGUUUGUUAACUGAAUCUAUAUACUGUAGUGUUAUAUAUUAAUAAAAUAUUAAUAAAUAAACUUAAAAUAGUUAACACAAAAUAUUAUUGUUUAAAUUUAUUUUAGUAAAAUUGUAAAUGCUGUCA